AUAAGACUGUUAUUUACAUUUUUUACUUCAAUAAGCACUGUAAAAAGUCAUUAUAAAGUUGACAUUCAACACAGCUUCAUAUCACAGUUGAGUUCAUCAUGUGUGAGGGGUUACAUUAUAUAGAUAGUCAUAAUUUACAUGUUUUUUCAUGUAAUUUUUUCAUGUUACAUAUUUUACAUGUACUAUGUGCAUGUUAUCUAAAAAUGUCAAAUUGGCCACUUUUUCACUUUGUUUUCCAUUUGGUUAUAGGAAAAACACCAGAAUUGCCUAGCUACAGGGCGCCGCCAUUGUGGACACCCAAAGUUGUGCGGAGAAGAAAAGUUGACAGGAGAUCUGAUUGGUCAUUAACAGAAAAUCUUUGUGAUGGAAUUUAACAGUGAAAUAUAAGUGAUAAAAAUGACAGGUGACAUAACAGAAUAUGUAGAAAGAUACAGAAGUUAUAAGGGAAGAUCUGAGUGGAGAGGUGAUAUUUGGAUGGACAAUUUCAUUCAGUGCGGAUCUACACUAGUUGUAAACAGGCCAAAAUUUGAAGGAAAAAUGCAACGGCAAGCCAUAUAUUUUUUGGUGGAAUUUUGAAGGGGAGAUGAUGAACUUUGCUGAAUGGUAAAAAAGUAAAUGACCCUUGUCAUCCUGACUUUGUGCCCUCGGUAUUUCCUCAAAAUGAGGAUUCUGCCUUCAGCAAAUCCUCGAAGAAAGUUGAAAGGUACAAGCGUGCGUUGAAGCGACAUAUUGCAGAAACAGAGUCUGGAGGACAGAAGGUCACUGCCAGAAAGAAGCUUAAACUACUUGACCAGCAGUCACCUGAAUAUCAGAAAAGAACCUUGAGUGAACAUUCAUAUGUUAAAAACCUACAGGUAGAUAUUGACGAACACUCAGGCGAAGUGAAUUGUGAGUCUUGUGAUUAUUAUCCAAACAGUGUGUCUGUUCAAACCGAUAUCCUUCCCAUGAGACAACCUUUAGAGGAGUCAGAGAGGGAAAAGAUGUACGAGGAACUCGCAAACUUAAGGCAGGAGAGAGAUGAAGCUUUGGCGAGAGCAACUUCACUUGAGAAACUUGUUAGUGCAAGUACACUUAAUUCCAAUUCUGUGGAGGGAAACGACGAGGCAUGUAAAAUGAUAACUGGCAUUUCAUGGGGAGUAUUCCUUCAUCUUUUCAACUUUCUGUCAACAUUUAUGAAACACUCAGCAGCAAGUACCAUUCCACCCAAGGAACAGUUGUUUCUAACCUUGAUAAAACUGUGCCAUAAUUAUGUUCCCCAAACAAAGUUUGGGAACAUAUUGUUUUUACUCUGUUUCUUAUUAUUAGGGUCUUCCGAGCUUCCUUCGGAAGACCCUUCUGUUAUUCUACUGUUUCUUAUUAUAAUUUUAUUUUAUUUUUCCCGCUUUUUUUGUACAGGCGAUUUCUCGGAAACCUUUUAUCUGAUUAUUAUGAAACUUACAGUGUAGAUACAUUGCAUUAAGACCUAAAAACGAUGUUUUCAAAUUUUUGAUAUGUACCUCCGUUUACGAGUUAUUGCCCUUUAAUUGAAUUUCAGGGGGGUCUUUUGUCCAGCAGAAAUCUCAGGAACUACAAAUGAUAUCAGCAAGAAAAUUGGAGAAAAUGUAGGUAAGGUAUUGUAGUUGUGCAGGAAGUUAAAAUUAUUGGCUAAACUUUUUAACUUCAGAAGCUAUGUGAUGGCAAAUUUUGAGAAUUUUUUCCCCAUAGAUUUUUGUUGCUUUUUGUGUAAUAUCUUUUAAGCUGGUAUUAAUUUGGUAAGACAUAUAGAACAAAAGUUGUGUGUAAUUACAAGAGCUUUCGAAUGAAAUCAAGAAAAAGGGGCUGGCCCCUAUAUUUAGGGGUCAGCAGCUCAUAAACGUGUUUUUUUAAUACUUAAAAAUGUUGACAUAUAUUGAAAAAGUUUGAAUGAAAUAAUCUUUAGGAUAUCAAAUCUUGUCAUUUGGUAUGAAAGAAACAAGCUUUGUGCUAUAUUUAUUUCUAUUUCAUAAAAGAAAUGUGUGAGAAUCGUACAGGAACAAGUUGUCUGUACAAGCCCGCCAAGCUGUUUCGGGGCCUCAUGCUUGUGUAGUGCUUAAAUAGUUGAUUUAGAUACAUUGUUUUGAUUCGACUUCUCUUUUUUAAUUUAUUUAAAUAAUUAACAAAAUGCAAUGUUUUUACACGAUGAACUGUUAAACAUCAUGUAUGUAUACAUGUUAUCAGUGCAGAGAAAGUCUUUACGGGGCCUCCUGGAUGUAAACAUUCACGAGAGGCAUUGUGGGAAGGCCAGAGAAUGGCGAAAUCAAAUUGUGAUGUGUACAUUUUAUCACCGUAUGUAGGUCUACAUGUAUAUUCAUUGUACAGCUACGAGCACAUGAACUGCCCUCGAUUACGCACUUGGAGCAUUAGUCAAUACUAACGAAGGAUAUAUUGUUGUCUGAAUCGUUUACCAUGUUUCGACUACGAGAAAAUUUUGACGGUCAUAUUUCCAAUGGAUUGAUAAACACAUAAAGAUACAGUGCAGAUAUAUUUAUAAACUGUCCCCAGUGAUAUUGUAACUAGUAAGGAAAAGUUAAUGGUGACACUUUAAUGUGUGAUGGAAUUGGACGUUGCUAAAAAGGUUAGAACGUUUUACUUAUCUAAAAUCCACACAGACAGAUAGGGUGGUAUUAAAAUGUCAGUAUUUUGCGUACACGCACACUGAUUUUUAUUUAAUGUCGAUACUGUGUUCAUAAGCUUUCUAAUGACAUUCUCAAAUUCCCCAUGAUUUAGCUUUUACAUUAUAAAUACUUGUAAUUUUACUAUUUUUUUUAAAGUUUGUUUUUAGUGGGAGAGGUGUAUUUGUUUGUUAAAAUUCCCUCGUGAAAUUUUCAUUCAUGGACUCCACCAAUGCUAUUAGGAGAGUGCAAAUUUAGAUUUAUUCUCUGCUGUCCUAGGUUCACUGAAAGGGGAGAUCUUUUUUGCGUGACAUGAGACCUUGUUUAUAUGCUCGGUCUUCAUUCACUCAAUGACAAAAUUCAUUCGCAUUAUAAGGAGUAGUCCGAAAUAUCUGACGUUUUCCAGGCUUUUUCCCGAUUUUGAUAUUUAAUGUGCAAUUUAUUUAAAUAAUUAACAAAAUGCAAUGUUUUUACACGAUGAAAUGUUAAACAUCAUGUAUGUAUGUAUGUUAUCUCGGACUAUGUAAGGAGUCCCUUAUUUCAUGACUCUUGAAAGAUACUGUCUAACCACUUUACCACUUUUGAAUGAAGAUAAAAGAAUUUGUUACAAAUCCUUAUUAGUCUUUUGUCUGUCAUUCUUUAAACAAAAUAUGCAAAAGUUCAACAAUACACAGGCUAGAAUACUAUAAAUAUUGUUUAUGUUGAAUGGUUACUAAGUCGCUUUGUCCCAAAACGGAAAUGCCCCAUGCACAAACUUUCCCAAAAAAAUUUUCAGGGGCAACCAAGUUCAUGUAGUAUUGGCCCCCCCCCCCCCCCCUCCCCCAAUUUUAUUCAUAAGUGCCCAUAAUACAUAUUCUGAGCACUCCAAAUCUGUGAUACCUCUGACUCUAACCCCGCACAUGUCACAAUAUAAAAGCAGGGGUUAGAGUUAGAGGUAUGUUGGAUUAGAGCACCCCAAAACUUAAACAAGCAUAUUCUGGAAUGAAUACAUGAGUUGCAAACAUUUGUUUACAAAAUUAUAUCAUAUGGAUAAAUAUGUUUGUCAAGAGAAAAAUUUUUAACCUUGGUAUAGUGUUGAGUCACAAAGUUUAAUGUUUAAAAAAAGGUGACCAUAAUUACCAAAAAAAAAAGUUUUCUAAGCCAUUAUUACCUUUCUCAAAUGCCAUAAAUGUUGAAAUAUUUUAUCUUUAAUGAUUUAUAAGCUAGCCUCUAGAGUUAAAUUAUUCUCUCAGUCAUAAAUGCACACGUCAUGCUGCCAAAGUUUACAAUUAAUAUACACUUAAAGGUCUUAUGCAAGGAAAUAGCCAAUCAAAAUGAUUUAGUCAAUUGUAGUUCUAUAUGUAACGGUUUGGGCCGUGGAUAUUGGCCUGGGUAGCUCAGUCAGUAGAGCACCUGACUAGUGAUGCAGGGGUCCCGGGUUCGAUUCCCUGUCCUGCCAUACAUUUUCUCAUUUCCUGUUACAGAUUUGGUGCCGUUGACCACCCCUGGACUUGGAGGUGAAAGUCCUCCCAGGGGCAAAUAAGAACUUGGGUUGCAUCUUCGAGGGCGAAGACAAUUUAAGGAGGGAGGAAUGUAAUGGUUCUGGCCGUGGAUAUCGGCCUGGGUAGCUCAGUCGGUAGAGCACCUGACUAGUGAUCCCGGUGCGCAUGAUGCAACUUCCUGGAUGGUGUGUAGUCUGUUUGUCAACAUGUGAAACCCACGUGUAUUUUGAGGAGUAGCCUCCCCUGUUAAAGAUCAAUAAUGGUGGAUAAACAAUGCAGGAUGCUUUCAUGUCAUCAACAGAGAGUUUUGACACCCGUAUACCCGUAUUUCUACCAAUCACCUCUGUAACCUUUGUUGUGUUCAUCAGACAGAUGAUGGACCACUCUACUUCCUUUUACAACAGGUGCCCCUACAGAUUCACAAAGUUCCAAUGUUGAUUUUCCAUGACCCCCAUUCAUUCGCGACAGGAAAAGGAAUGACGUUGACAGGAUUUCCUGCUCUGUACUUGGUAGCAGCUUAUGAUAGAACGGACAGCAGUAGACAUAGCCCGCUCUAGUGGACGGUCAUCACCCUGCCUGCCUUAUUUUCUUCAUGCUGGUUUUAUUCACAUCUGUGAUCUGUGAUAAUUUUUUCCACUUUGUUGCAGGUCUGCUGCAUGUUGGUAGCUGAUGCUGGUUCAAUAUUUGCGCCAAGAAGCAUACCACGCAUACCCUCUGUAGUAAGGCUGGUACCCAUGUGACCGACAGCCAUAGCCACAUUUAGCUGUGCAGCUCUGCGUCCCCUUCUGGAUCUCCCCACCUCUUCAUACAGCUUUUCACGGCGACUUGUAUAGUGGCACUUCUUACAUCGGAUGGAAAGGAUCCAUGCCAGGCCUCGUUUUUCCUUCCCAUGCUGGUUCCAGUCCAGUGAACCAUUACAGUCUGGAAACUUCUAGCUGCCUGGUCUUCUAAGAGAAACUCCAUUCUUUGAUGACUGAUGGAAAAGCCUCAUCACUCCCUACUGCUAAAGAACCACUUAUCUUAAUCACCAGCCAUUUAUCAGUGAUCACUGUUAUCAAAGCUCCAUGGUGCGCAUGAUGCAACUUCCUGGAUGUUUGUCAACAUGUGAAACCCACGUGUAUUUUGAGGUGCGACAGUAUGUCUCCAGGUUAAGUGAUUGUGUAGAUUGAUUCCCAGCAUAACGAUGGUUUGCCAAAAGAGCAUAUGAAUAGAAAAUUGGUGAUGCUUAAAAAUAUCAGCAGAAUACAGAAAUUAAGAGACACAGAUGGACAAAAACCCUCUAUCUAAUAUAAUUUACAUAUUAGGCCUAUACAACUAGAACAUGUAACAAGUGAAAUUUAAAUGUAUGCAUAUAUUUACUGUAAAUGUAUUAUUUUCAGCGUGUACGAUAUUUGGCGGGAAUUGAUUUUUGAACAAGUUAGCGUGAAUUUAAUUUAGCGAAUUCCUUUUUGUUUUUUUAUUUAUGUGUAAAGUGUAAGACAUUUAGCGUUGUAUUUGAAUGAGCAGAAGUUGCUUUCCGCCAAAGGCGCUAAAAAGAAUACACAACCAAAUGUAAUACGUUUACAGUAUUAGAGCUGUUUUAAUGUAUACAAUUGUGUAUACAUAGUUGCUUGUUUGUUGACUCAGUGUAUAGAACAUGUACUACUAUAAUGUACAUCUUUCAUGUGUUAUUUCAAUGUGAUGUUGAAUCACAUUUAAAAUACAGCAAAGCUUUUACAGCUGAAUCCUGUUGUUGUUGUUUUUUUAAUUAUGUACAGUUUUGAUUCCCAACAGAUCAAAAAAUAAACAUAGAGAAUUCUUCA